rnacentral:rRNA from 1 species
UACGUAGGGGGCGAGCGUUGUCCGGAAUUAUUGGGCGUAAAGAGCUCGUAGGCGGCCUGUCGCGUCGGAUGUGAAAGCCCGGGGCUUAACCCCGGGUCUGCAUUCGAUACGGGCAGGCUAGAGUGUGGUAGGGGAGAUCGGAAUUCCUGGUGUAGCGGUGAAAUGCGCAGAUAUCAGGAGGAACACCGGUGGCGAAGGCGGAUCUCUGGGCCAUUACUGACGCUGAGGAGCGAAAUCGUGGGGAGCGAACAGG